UACGGAGGGAGCUAGCGUUGUUCGGAAUUACUGGGCGUAAAGCGCACGUAGGCGGCUUUGUAAGUUAGAGGUGAAAGCCCGGGGCUCAACUCCGGAACUGCCUUUAAGACUGCAUCGCUUGAAUCCGGGAGAGGUGAGUGGAAUUCCGAGUGUAGAGGUGAAAUUCGUAGAUAUUCGGAAGAACACCAGUGGCGAAGGCGGCUCACUGGCCCGAUACUGACGCUGAGGCACGAAAGCGUGGGGAGCAAACAGG
rnacentral:rRNA from 1 species